rnacentral:rRNA from 1 species
GGGUUGUGAGGUUAAGCGACUAAGCGUACACGGUGGAUGCCCUGGCAGUCAGAGGCGAUGAAGGGCGUGCUAAUCUGCGAUAAGCGCCGGUAAGGUGAUAUGAACCGUUAUAACCGGCGAUACCCGAAUGGGGAAACCCAGUGUGAUUCGUCACACUAUCAUUAACUGAAUCCAUAGGUUAAUGAGGCGAACCGGGGGAACUGAAACAUCUAAGUACCCCGAGGAAAAGAAAUCAACCGAGAUUCCCCCAGUAGCGGCGAGCGAACGGGGAGGAGCCCAGAGCCUGAAUCAGCAUGUGUGUUAGUGGAAGCGUCUGGAAAGGCGCGCGAUACAGGGUGACAGCCCCGUACACAAAAGCGCAUAUGCUGUGAGCUCGAUGAGUAGGGCGGGACACGUGGUAUCCUGUCUGAAUAUGGGGGGACCAUCCUCCAAGGCUAAAUACUCCUGACUGACCGAUAGUGAACCAGUACCGUGAGGGAAAGGCGAAAAGAACCCCGGCGAGGGGAGUGAAAAAGAACCUGAAACCGUGUACGUACAAGCAGUGGGAGCCCCACCACUAAGCCAGUGGUGAACUCCACAUACGCAUCCUUUGCUGAGGAGACGGUUAACGGAGCGAAAGCGACGUUCAACCUCAAAAGAAGCAGAGGGGGCUUAGUGGUGGGGUGACUGCGUACCUUUUGUAUAAUGGGUCAGCGACUUAUAUUCUGUAGCAAGGUUAACUGUAUAGGGGAGCCGGAGGGAAACCGAGUCUUAACCGGGCGUUAAGUUGCAGGGUAUAGACCCGAAACCCGGUGAUCUAGCCAUGGGCAGGUUGAAGGUUGGGUAACACUAACUGGAGGACCGAACCGACUAAUGUUGAAAAAUUAGCGGAUGACCUGUGGCUGGGGGUGAAAGGCCAAUCAAACCGGGAGAUAGCUGGUUCUCCCCGAAAGCUAUUUAGGUAGCGCCUCGUGAAUUCAUCUCCGGGGGUAGAGCACUGUUUCGGCUAGGGGGCCAUCCCGGCUUACCAACCCGAUGCAAACUGCGAAUACCGGAGAAUGUUAUCACGGGAGACACACGGCGGGUGCUAAUGUCCGUCGUGAAGAGGGAAACAACCCAGACCGCCAGCUAAGGUCCCAAAGUCAUGGUUAAGUGGGAAACGAUGUGGGAAGGCCCAGACAGCCAGGAUGUUGGCUUAGAAGCAGCCAUCAUUUAAAGAAAGCGUAAUAGCUCACUGGUCGAGUCGGCCUGCGCGGAAGAUGUAACGGGGCUAAACCAUGCACCGAAGCUGCGGCAGCGACACCGUGUGUUGUUGGGUAGGGGAGCGUUCUGUAAGCCUGUGAAGGUGUGCUGUGAGGCAUGCUGGAGGUAUCAGAAGUGCGAAUGCUGACAUAAGUAACGAUAAAGCGGGUGAAAAGCCCGCUCGCCGGAAGACCAAGGGUUCCUGUCCAACGUUAAUCGGGGCAGGGUGAGUCGACCCCUAAGGCGAGGCCGAAAGGCGUAGUCGAUGGGAAACGGGUUAAUAUUCCCGUACUUGGUGUUACUGCGAAGGGGGGACGGAGAAGGCUAUGUUGGCCGGGCGACGGUUGUCCCGGUUUAAGCGUGUAGGUAUGUGUUCCAGGUAAAUCCGGUUCACUUUAACACUGAGGCGUGACGACGAGGCACUACGGUGCUGAAGCAACAAAUGCCCUGCUUCCAGGAAAAGCCUCUAAGCAUCAGGUAACAUCAAAUCGUACCCCAAACCGACACAGGUGGUCAGGUAGAGAAUACCAAGGCGCUUGAGAGAACUCGGGUGAAGGAACUAGGCAAAAUGGUGCCGUAACUUCGGGAGAAGGCACGCUGACACGUAGGUGAAGUGAUUUACUCACGGAGCUGAAGUCAGCCGAAGAUACCAGCUGGCUGCAACUGUUUAUUAAAAACACAGCACUGUGCAAACACGAAAGUGGACGUAUACGGUGUGACGCCUGCCCGGUGCCGGAAGGUUAAUUGAUGGGGUCAGCGCAAGCGAAGCUCCUGAUCGAAGCCCCGGUAAACGGCGGCCGUAACUAUAACGGUCCUAAGGUAGCGAAAUUCCUUGUCGGGUAAGUUCCGACCUGCACGAAUGGCGUA